rnacentral:rRNA from 1 species
UGGGGAAUUUUGGACAAUGGGCGCAAGCCUGAUCCAGCCAUUCCGCGUGCAGGAUGAAGGCCCUCGGGUUGUAAACUGCUUUUGUACGGAACGAAAAGGCUUUCUCUAAUACAGAGAGCUCAUGACGGUACCGUAAGAAUAAGCACCGGCUAACUACGUGCCAGCAGCCGCGGUAUNNGCAGGGUGCAAGCGUUAACUGCGGAAUUACUGGGCGUAAAGCGUGCGCAGGCGGUGAUGUAAGACAGAUGUGAAAUCCCCGGGCUCAACCUGGGAACUGCAUUUGUGACUGCAUCGCUGGAGUGCGCAGAGGGGGAUGGAAUUCCGCGUGUAGCAGUGAAAUCGUAGAUAUGCGGAGGAACACCGAUGGCGAAGGCAAUCCCCU